rnacentral:lncRNA from 1 species
UGACAGUUUGUAAGAAGGUGAGUAGGACAAUCCUAGGAGUAGAAUAACAUAUAUAGUUCAGGGAAGUAAACACAAACAAGGGAAAGGGGAAUGGGGAUAAGUAGUUCACAUGUAAGAGCAUAGACAUCAGAGAAAAAUUUAAACAGCCAUAGCACAUUUCAUCCCAAAAAGGUUAAGGAUUACAUGCUGAUAACGUAUUGGGGUUAAGGGGUAAGGAAGAACUGAAUUAAACAAAUAAAGGAAGCAGUAGACAUGCUGAAUUAAGGGAAAGAUAAUCACAUCACCGAACUAGCACAAAGGCAUGCUAAUUGCAAUGAGAACAACAUAACCAAAAGUAGAAGCAUAAAAGAAACAAGAGGAAGUGCAAUAUACAUAAAAACAUGUUAUUUUGGAAACUAUAAAUCAAAUAGAAGACAUGCCAGUCAAGAGUGAGAUAAUAUAGAACAGUAGUGUGCAGGGAAGUAGAGCAGGAGUGUGUAGGCCAAGAGAGCAAUGUAUAUAGCAAUAAACCAGUAGAGUAACAAGUUAC